rnacentral:rRNA from 1 species
GCAGAGCAUCCUACGGGGGCAGCAGUGGGGAAUAUUGCACAAUGGGCGCAAGCCUGAUGCAGCCAUGCCGCGUGUAUGAAGAAGGCCUUCGGGUUGUAAAGUACUUUCAGCAGUGAGGAAGGUGGAUAUGUUAAUAGCAUAUUCAUUUGACGUUAGCUGCAGAAGAAGCACCGGCUAACUCCGUGCCAGCAGCCGCGGUAAUACGGAGGGUGCGAGCGUUAAUCGGAAUUACUGGGCGUAAAGCGCAUGCAGGUGGUUUGUUAAGUCAGAUGUGAAAGCCCGGGGCUCAACCUCGGAAUUGCAUUUGAAACUGGACAAACUAGAGUACUGUAGAGGGGGUAGAAUUUCAGGUGUAGCGGUGAAAUGCGUAGAGAUCUGAAGGAAUACCGGUGGCGAAGGCGGCCCCCUGGACAGAUACUGACACUCAGAUGCGAAAGCGUGGGGAGCAAACAGGAUUAGAUACCCUGGUAG